UGACCAAUUGCUGUUUUCUCAUUGUACCUU
rnacentral:piRNA from 1 species